rnacentral:lncRNA from 1 species
UAAAAUGAUCAUAUUUAUAUUUCUUAUUGUGUGACACCCUAGCUAGCUAGGAUUUAGAAAAAAGUCCUAUAUAUGAGGUAUAAUAUAGCUAAAACUUUUAAUCCAGUUAUAAUAUUUUGGACGGUGACUAGACCCAAAAGAUUAAAAAGUUAAGCAUAUAUAUUAGGACUAGGAUAAUUUUAGAAUAGAUGACCCCAUAAAAGUGGGG